ensembl:lncRNA LPAL2 lipoprotein(a) like 2 (pseudogene)
AGUGUCCUCCCGGAGGCCUAGGGCCCGCUGCGGCUCCCACCCUGGCGACCCUGGAUUGCUCUCCUCACUCUCAGCCUCACGCCCCACUUCUUCCACCCCAAAUUUUGCGGCCUCAGAAGGACACGAACUAUCUGCUGGCUGAAGUCGCUUGGGACAAAACCCGCCACAGGAUUUUGGGAGCCGGGCACUCCCUCCCACGGGAGGCGAGGGCAAAAUGUGGGGUCUGCUGCCCCCUGCCGGCCUGGCUGAUGUUUGCUUCUGUUUCCACGCUGCCCAGCAAUGUUCCAGGUGGAGCUUGUGGAAGCACCGACUGAGACAGGGCCUUCUGUGCAGGAGUGCUACCACAGUAAUGGACAGAGUUAUCGAGGCACAUACUUCACCACUGUCACAGGAAGAACCUGCCAAGCUUGGUCAUCUAUGACGCCACACCAGCACAGUAGAACCCCAGAAAAGUACCCAAAUGAUGGCUUGAUCUCGAACUACUGCAGGAAUCCGGAUUGUUCGGCAGGCCCUUGGUGUUAUACGACGGAUCCCAAUGUCAGGUGGGAGUACUGCAACCUGACACGGUGCUCAGACGAUGAAGGGACUGUGUUCGUGCCUCUGACUGUUAUCCCAGUUCCAAGCCUAGAGGAUUCAUUCAUACAAGGUAAGAAGUCUGUGGCCAGACAUCUCCACGCUUAGACACUAAGAAGAAAAGCCAUGGAAACUCCCACUGAUGCAGAAGGCUUCAUUCUACACAGGUGCUCCAAUGUUGAUUGAGGAUCUGCCAUUUUGGAGGAAUCCUCAGUGCAGUGUCUGGGGGAGCCAGAGGAGUAAUUUUUGGUGCAGCAUGAGUGGGCUGUGUCUUUGGAUAGGCACAAACCCUCCAGGGUGCUCGACAUCACCACUCACUUCAUUGUAAAAUGAGUUAUCUCAGUGUCCAGUCCAAAAUUCCUGUUGUAACAUGCUGUCAGAUAUGUGUCUCUUUCCAAUGCAGUAAGCUUCUCCAGGGAUUUCUUCAAGUAGACAACAUUCAGUGCAAUCUUCAUCAUCACAGAUUCUCAGAAAUGUGUGGCUUUCAAGCCCGUGAAUCUUGAGAAACUUAACAGGGCUGCAUUAAUUCCAUGUUGCCCUUGCAUCAUGGAGCAUUACAUGAGCUCCCAAGGCUCUAUCUUUCAGGCCUUCCUCAGACCUGGGCAAGAUUUGCAGGCCUAGGCUUUGAAGUGAGUGAUUUCUCAGUGUUCCUGCACCUUUUUCUAAUGGAAGUUGUACUUGUGGGGGGUCUGGAGAGAAAGAGUAGGAGACUUCUGCUUUAUUGCAAUGCAGGAUGUGGGGCAUGAGAAAAUUCCAUCUCUCUUCCAAUGGGAUAAGAUUUUGGCCUCCACCCAUCCUUAUGAAGCAAACUAUUUUUGCCUGCAGUCCUAGACGCACAACCGUUUUCUUCCCAAUCUGCCAGAAGCCAGAAGCUGAAGGCCUUGGCUCUCGUGAUCAAUGGUCUAGGGAAACGUGCGAGGUUUCCAUGUCUGUCCCCACCUCCGCCCUCAGCAGCCAAUCACC